AGUGAACGCUGGCGGUAGGCCUAACACAUGCCAGUCGAACGGCAGCACAGUAAGAGCUUGCUCUUACGGGUGGCGAGUGGCGGACGGGUGAGGAAUACAUCGGAAUCUACUUUUUCGUGGGGGAUAACGUAGGGAAACUUACGCUAAUACCGCAUACGACCUACGGGUGAAAGCAGGGGAUCUUCGGACCUUGCGCGAUUGAAUGAGCCGAUGUCAGAUUAGCUAGUUGGCGGGGUAAAGGCCCACCAAGGCGACGAUCCGUAGCUGGUCUGAGAGGAUGAUCAGCCACACUGGAACUGAGACACGGUCCAGACUCCUACGGGAGGCAGCAGUGGGGAAUAUUGGACAAUGGGCGCAAGCCUGAUCCAGCCAUACCGCGUGGGUGAAGAAGGCCUUCGGGUUGUAAAGCCCUUUUGUUGGGAAAGAAAAGCAGCAGGUUAAUACCCCGCUGUUCUGACGGUACCCAAAGAAUAAGCACCGGCUAACUUCGUG
rnacentral:rRNA from 1 species